AGCGAACGCUGGCGGCAGGCCUAACACAUGCCAGUCGAACGAACUCUUCGGAGUUAGUGGCGGACGGGUGAGUAACACGUGGGAACGUGCCUUUUGGUUCGGAAUAACUCAGGGAAGCUUGUGCUAAUACCGAAUGUGCCCUUCGGGGGAAAGAUUUAUCGCCAUUAGAGCGGCCCGCGUCUGAUUAGCUAGUUGGUGAGGUAACGGCUCACCAAGGCGACGAUCAGUAGCUGGUCUGAGAGGAUGACCAGCCACACUGGGACUGAGACACGGCCCAGACUCCUACGGGAGGCGGCAGUGGGGAAUCUUGCGCAAUGGGCGAGAGGCUGACGCAGCCAUGCCGCGUGAAUGAUGAAGGUCUUAGGAUUGUAAAAUUCUUUCACCGGGGACGAUAAUGACGGUACCCGGAGAAGAAGCCCCGGCUAACUUCGUG
rnacentral:rRNA from 1 species